GGGCGGAUUACAAUUUAUCAUAGAACACAAAACCAAAAUGCGAACUCCUCUGUUCAUCUUCCUUAUUCCGCCCUCACCCAUUUCCAUUUCCGCGAGCAAAUCUCACUGUUACCCCGCCUUGUCUCCCUUCCAGCAUCGUACUGCUCUAUCCGCCCACAACAACUUACUGUCAUCAUUCCCAACCGCCUACGCUCAUCACCAUCAACCUCAUACUUCCUUCUUUAUACUGUCGGAUACUCCCUUCAUUCAGCGAUUCCGGAUAACACCCAAACACCAUCUGUAAUUCACUUCUCAUUAUUUUGGUAG